AGUGCUCCUCUCCGAGAGUACAUAGCUCAGUUUGUACUUAAACAUGUGUUGUAUAUUGCAUUAUGGGUUCUGUCACUCUUCUCUCCUCUCUUAAUAUAGGUUUUAGUGUCAAGAGUUACUCGUUUUGUCCGCAGUGACUGGCAUAGUGUCUGGUUCGCAGCAGGUGCUUACAAUUUGUUAAAUGAAUAAAUGGAUGAACAGUCGUUCCUCAUCUCCUUUCAGCUGAUCACCAGUCUAUGAGUACGUCCGCCCCCCAGAUUGGAGUGUGUCCUUUGGGGCCGGACUUUGGCACCUCAUCCAGGCUGGCAGCAGGCUGUGAUCUUUGGUUUGCCUAUCUCGGGCCUCUAGCCCAGCAAAUAGCUGAACCUACGCCCCGGGCGUGUCGCGCCGUCACGCGGAACCUCCCUACUUCCACACAUCAGAACCCGGCAGAAACUAAGCUUAAACUGCGAAGCCUCUUCGCACCUCCGGACGUGGGAAUUACAUACUUGGACCUCAGACUCACGCGGGUGUCCUCAUGACUUCUCUCGCGGACCAUGUCCUUGAUCCUUUUUGCCUGCGUGGUAAGGGUGAGGGAUGGACUGCCCCUCUCGGCCUCCACUGAUUUCUACCACAGCCAAGACUUCCUGGAAUGCAGGAGACGCCUCAAGACUUUAGCCUCGCGACUGGCCCAGUAUCCAGGUCGAGGUUCCGCAGAAGGAUGUGACUUCAGCAUCCACUUCUCUUCUUCGAGGGACGUGGCCUGCAUGGCUAUCUGCUCCCUCCAGUGUCCGGCAGCCAUGGCCUUCUGCUUCCUGGAGACCCUGUGGUGGGAAUUCACAGCUUCCUAUGACACCACCUGCGUUGGCCUCGCCUCCAGGCCAUAUGCCUUUCUCGAAUUUGACAAUGUCAUUCAGAAAGUGAAGUGGCAUUUUAACUAUGUAAGUUCCACCCAGAUGGACAGCAGCUUAGGAAAAAUUCAGGAGGAACUCAAGUUCCAGCCACCAGUGGUUCUCACCCUGGAAGACACAGAUGUGGCCAACGGGGUGAUGAAUGGACACACGCUGAUGCACCUGGAGCCAGCUCCUAAUUUCCGAAUGGAACCAGUGACAGCCCUGGGCGUCCUCUCCCUUAUUCUCAACAUCAUGUGCGCUGCCCUGAACCUCAUUCGUGGAAUUCACCUCGCAGAACAUUCUUUACAGGUUGCACAUGAAGAAAUUGGAAAUAUUCUGGCUUUUCUUAUUCCUUUUGUAGCCUGCAUUUUCCAGUGUUACCUGUACCUGUUCUACAGUCCAGCCAGGACUACGAAGGUGGUGCUGAUGCUGCUCUUCAUUUGCGUGGGCAACGUGUACCUGCAUGGGCUGAGGAACCUCUGGCAAAUCCUCUUCCACAUAGGAGUGGCUUUCCUGUCUUCACAUCAGAUACUGACAAGACAGCUUCAGGACAAGCAGUCUGACUGCGGAGUGUGAGGAUGAGGCCACGGGAUGGACGGAUCCUUUGAUUUUCCUCUGAGGGUCAUCGGCGUUUCCCGUUUUACUUCUUGACUUCACCUCAAGUUUCCAUCCUUGAAGUUCCUUUCAACCAAAGCAGACUGACCCUGAGAACCAAGAUUUUUUUCCACCGGUGCAGCGGGAAGCAUGAAGUUGCUGGCCAUCUGGUCUCAGUUUUGUGUGAGAGUUACUGCAGAAUCUCCACUUCAGCACUUUGGACAGCAGAAUCUGGGCGCCCCGUCAGAAAGCACACUACUGGAAGACCAACAUGGAGUGGUUUUGGUCUUUUACGUUGAGUGAUGCAAUAAACCACUAGAUUCAGUAUCAGUAGUUUUAAGUAGUUGGCAAUUGUCUCCGAGGGAACCACUUAAACAUCUGUAUCAGCUUUUCAGUCUAAAUGUGACUUUGGACCAGCCCUGUCAGGAAAUGGCCACCAGAGGGCACACCACCAGGUUCCUAACCAGGUUCCCAGCCCAGGGACCGGUGCUGUUUUGCAGGGUGAUGAUGAUUCCUUCAGCAGCUGAUAAAAUUCCCAGAAAGAAAACAAAUGCACCCACCUUUCCUGACCAUGCUUUAAGCACGUUGGGGAACGCAUGCUCCAAGUUUCUCAUCACCGUCAGUCCUGAGCGAAGGUUUUCGGAGGAGGACGAAGACUUCCAAAAUAAGAAUCUGGACUAUUGAGUUCUGGGAUUUGGGAGUGGACAGAACCUUUAGGUACCAUCAGGUGCAACCCUGUUGCUGCUCAGAUGCAGGAGUUGAGGCCUGUCCUAGGUAGCCGGUGUGACCGUGUAGCCCAGAACACUGUCUGUCAGUCAGAACUCCUCUGGGCUGAGAACAAGGUGCACUUGGAAUAAAAAGUGCCGCAGAGAAUGAAAAGAGAUCUUGGCCCAUAAAGGGUGCCCUUUUUGUGCCAGGAGGGCUGUGUGCUAGUUUAGGCUGAUGAACUGCCUUCCUUUUUCUGGGACUCUAACCUCUGUGGGGCCGGGUAGCAGGGCUGCUGCCUGACGGCGGUGUAGCAUCCUUGAGCAGAGCCAGCAGAGGAGUGAGGCUCAGGAACGGCCCCACCUGAGUGCUCCUACCUUGGCUGAAGCAGCUCCAAGACACCCCCGGUUGAAUGUGCAGGACGAAAACUACUACGUUCCUUGAAGAACAUGAGGGAGUGUUAUAUUUGACCCACGAUGAAAGAGUGCUUCUUAAACAAAAACGCAUCACAAGCACGACCCUCAAGGUGAAAUGAUCAAUGAACCUGAUGACAUACAAAUAAUGAUUUCAUGCGCACAGUUUAAAGAAUGAGAGAAGAUAUUUACAAUGUCUGAAACCAGCAAGGGAUUAAUAUACAAGCAAGUCCUGAAAUCAUUAAGAAAAGAUAAGGGACUUGAACAGAAAAAAUGAGCAAUUUGCCUAAGAGAAAACCCAGAAAGCUAAUAAGCAUAUGAAGAUGUUUGAAAUCAUUAGAAAUACAGAAAAAUACCUAUUUAAACAAUUGUAAGGUAUCGCUUUAUGCCUAUGCGUUUGGCAAAACUUAGAAAGCUGGGUGGCACCACAUAUUGGAGCAAGUUGCGGGGAUGUGGGACUUCAUGUAUGGCCAGUGUGAAGAGCUGUGCUAUUGUUAUAGGCUGGACUGCGUUCUCCUCAAAUUCAUAUGUCAAAGUCCUAACCUCCAGUGCCUCAAAAUGUGGCUGUAUUUGGUGAUAGGGUCUUUUUAAAAA